UACGGAGGGUGCAAGCAUUAAUCGGAUUUACUGGGCGUAAAGGGCGCGUAGGUGGCUUGUUAAGUCAGAUGUGAAAUUUCACGGCUCAACUGUGAAGCUGCAUUUGAAACUGACAGACUAGAGGAUAGGCGGAGGGAACGGAAUUCCACGUGUAGCGGUGAAAUGCGUAGAUAUGUGGAAGAACACCGGUGGCGAAAGCGGUUUCCUAGCCUAAGCCUGACGCUAAAGCGCGAAAGCGUGGGGAGCAAACAGG
rnacentral:rRNA from 1 species